GCUACUGUUGCCUUCUUCACCGCGCGGCGAUCAAGCACUCCAUUGUCCAUUCCGCCGCUUGCCGUGUGGCCAGCCAUGGGUGCGAGGGGGUGUCGAUCGAGCUGGGCUCUCCUCUUCUUCGAUCGGCAAGUUCUUCUUCUUCCCCUGCGUCCUCGGGCGAGCUCGGCCGAUCACGCGCGUUGAUCGAUUUACUUUUUUCACGGUGUGGAUGGAGGAUGAUAGGAUGGAGAUACAACUUUCAUUGACAGGGCCUGCAAAUGAGGCAAAUCUGUAUGAACUUUUAGUGGGAGGUACAUUUGACCAUAACACUCAUCAGGUUGUUUCUCAUCAGCCUCUUGGAGAUGCGGCCGAAGAGGAACUCGCAUGAGAAGCAGAUCAUCAUGGAGGGCUCAAACCGGCAAACUAUUUGGUUCACAAUUUCCUUGUAGAAGUGUUGGUGCAAAAUAUAGAAGAAGAAUAAUGACCAUUGAACAGAAGACGAAAUGAUUGAACUUGUGAUUGGUGUUUCCAAAAGAGGGUUUGGGAGAUGGAGCAGGGUGAAGGAUGAUUAUUUUUCAACAUCGGUUCGUACAGCCGUUCAUCUCAAGGAUAAAUGGAGGAAUUUGGUAGCAGCUUGCAAGGCUAAUACCUCCAGAAAAGCUCACAAGGAGAAAAAUACCUCCAAAAAGAAGGUCAGCGUACAGAAGGCUACGGAGUUGGUUGUGAAAAGAUUUGGACACCGGAUCUUAGACAUGGAAGCUAAGCAUCUAGCUCAGAAAAAGAAAUGAACCAUCGUAUUAGCAAAUCAUGCUGUUUUGUAAAUACUAAUGCUCUCCAAAAUUCGGAUACUUGUAUGGCAGCGGUACCUCUAUUAUCUAAAUUAGAGCCCGCUACUAAAAGUGUCCGGCUCUUCAAUUAUCUAGAGUAAAUUUUAAGACC